rnacentral:misc_RNA from 1 species
UGGGAAGGUGUUGGGACAUGGAACA